rnacentral:rRNA from 1 species
UACGUAGGGGGCAAGCGUUAUCCGGAUUUACUGGGUGUAAAGGGAGCGUAGACGGCUAGACAAGUCUGGUGUGAAAACCCGGGGCUCAACCCUGGGACUGCAUUGGGAACUGUUUGGCUUGAGUGCAGGAGAGGUAAGUGGAAUUCCUAGUGUAGCGGUGAAAUGCGUAGAUAUUAGGAGGAACACCAGUGGCGAAGGCGGCUUACUGGACUGUAACUGACGUUGAGGCUCGAAAGCGUGGGGAGCAAACAGG